GGCGAACGCUGGCGGCGUGCUUAACACAUGCAAGUCGAACGGAAAGGCCCUGCUUUUGUGGGGUGCUCGAGUGGCGAACGGGUGAGUAACACGUGAGUAACCUGCCCUUGACUUUGGGAUAACUUCAGGAAACUGGGGCUAAUACCGGAUAGGAGCUCCUGCUGCAUGGUGGGGGUUGGAAAGUUUCGGCGGUUGGGGAUGGACUCGCGGCUUAUCAGCUUGUUGGUGGGGUAGUGGCUUACCAAGGCUUUGACGGGUAGCCGGCCUGAGAGGGUGACCGGCCACAUUGGGACUGAGAUACGGCCCAGACUCCUACGGGAGGCAACAGUGGGGAAUAUUGCACAAUGGGCGGAAGCCUGAUGCAGCAACGCCGCGUGCGGGAUGACGGCCUUCGGGUUGUAAACCGCUUUCGCCUGUGACGAAGCGUGAGUGACGGUAAUGGGUAAAGAAGCACCGGCUAACUACGU
rnacentral:rRNA from 1 species